CACGCAGGCGGUCUGUUAAGUCAAAUGUGAAAUCCCCGAGCUUAACUUGGGAAUUGCAUUCGAUACUGGUUGGCUAGAGUGUGGGAGAGGAUGGUAGAAUUCCAGGUGUAGCGGUGAAAUGCGUAGAGAUCUGGAGGAAUACCGAUGGCGAAGGCAGCCAUCUGGCCUAACACUGACGCUGAGGUGCGAAAGCAUGGGGAGCAAACAGGAUUAGAUACCCGAGUA
rnacentral:rRNA from 1 species